ACGAGGAAGGGUGUAUUAAUCGAUGAAAUGCUUCAGGGAGUUGGAAAUAAGCAGAGAUCCGGAGAUUCCCGAAUAGGUCAACCUUUUUCGAACUUCUGCUGAAUCCAUGGGCAGGCAAGAGACAAUUUGGCGAACUGAAACAUCUUAGUAGCCAGAGGAAAAGAAAGCAAAAGC
rnacentral:ncRNA from 1 species